UACGUAGGGGGCUAGCGUUGUCCGGAAUCAUUGGGCGUAAAGCGCGCGUAGGCGGCCCGGUAAGUCCGCUGUAAAAGUCCAGGGCUCAACCCUGGAAAGCCGGUGGAUACUGUCGGGCUCGAGUCCGGAAGAGGCGAGUGGAAUUCCUGGUGUAGCGGUGAAAUGCGUAGAUAUCGAGAGGAACACCUGCGGCGAAGGCGGGUUGCUGGGCUGACACUGACGCUGAUGCGCGAAAGCCAGGGGAGCGAACGGG
rnacentral:rRNA from 1 species